ensembl:misc_RNA Metazoa_SRP Metazoan signal recognition particle RNA
GCCAGGCAUGGUGGUGCAUGCCUGUAAUCCCAGCUACUCAGGAGGCUGAGGCAGGAGAAUCACUUGAACCCAGGAGAUGGAGGUUGCAAUGAGCCGUGAUCGUGCCACUGCAAUCUAGCCUGGGUGACAGAGUGAGACUCCGUCUCAA